AGGGGUAAGACGGUAGCAAUAUUGUCCUAGACCGGCGCACGGGUGAGUAACGCGUAUGCAACCUGCCCUUUACAGGGGGAUAGCCCGUAGAAAUGCGGAUUAAUACCCCAUAGACCUAUAACCCCGCAUGGGGAUUUAGGUAAAGCUGAGGCGGUAAAGGAUGGGCAUGCGUGACAUUAGCUUGUUGGUAAGGUAACGGCUUACCAAGGCUACGAUGUCUAGGGGUUCUGAGAGGAAGGUCCCCCACACUGGUACUGAGACACGGACCAGACUCCUACGGGAGGCAGCAGUGAGGAAUAUUGGUCAAUGGGCGAGAGCCUGAACCAGCCAUCCCGCGUGCAGGAAGAAGGCCCUAUGGGUUGUAAACUGCUUUUUCGCAUGAAGAAUGGUACCCUCGUGAGGGUAUUUGACGGUAAUGCGUGAAUAAGCACCGGCUAACUCCGUGCCAGCAGCCGCGGUAAUACGGAGGGUGCAAGCGUUAUCCGGAUUUAUUGGGUUUAAAGGGUGCGUAGGCGGUAUUAUAAGUCAGUGGUGAAAUGUUGCAGCUUAACUGUAGAAUUGCCAUUGAAACUGCAGUACUUGAGUUAUCUUGAAGUAGGCGGAAUGUGUAGUGUAGCGGUGAAAUGCUUAGAUAUUACACAGAACACCGAUUGCGAAGGCAGCUUACUAAGGGUACACUGACGCUGAGGCACGAAAGCGUGGGGAUCGAACAGGAUUAGAUACCCUGGUAGUCCACGCCGUANACGAUGAUGACUCGCUGUUGGCGAUAUNCAGUCAGCGGCUUAGCGAAAGCGUUAAGUCAUCCACCUGGGGAGUACGCUCGCAAGAGUGAAACUCAAAGGAAUUGACGGG
rnacentral:rRNA from 1 species